ensembl:lincRNA 1700057H21Rik RIKEN cDNA 1700057H21 gene
AGAUGCAAUCCCUUCCACUAUGCCUGAGAACAUGGGGUCACACUCAGCAGUCACAACAUCUAGAAAUGUAUUGAUCCUACUAAAAUAGACGCUUACUGUUGUUUGCUUGGCUGCUGGUCCCGGAGAUCCUGCUACUGCACUGACCAUGCUGGAACAAGGCUGACCCAUCCUUCUUAGAAGGAGAUACUGAGGAGACCAGGUCUGCACCACAAGAAGAUGAAAGGGCGACCCUUGAAAAUCAUGUCUGUGGAGUUUAUUUUAAACAGUUCAAACUUUUCUGGCUCUAAAACAUAGAGGUCAUAUUAAAAAUUAAAAAGUAGAAGUUCUAUUUACAUGGCAAUUCUUGCUCCUGUAUGGAACUGCAGAGGAAAGCAGUCUUGUGA